AUGGCUGGCAGUAAGGCUGGGAAGGACUCCAGAAAGGCCAACAAAGGCAGCUUCCCACUCACAAGAGAGCCAAUUUGCAGUUCCUGGUGGGCCGUAUUCACUGACACCUGAAAUCUAGGACAAUCAGUCCUGGACGUGUGGGCGCGACUGCCGCUGUGAAUAGCACAGCCAUCCUGGAGUACCUCACCGCAGAGGUACUUGAACUGGCAAGAAAUGCGUCAAAAGACUUCACAGUAAAGCAUACUACCCCUCAUUACUUGCAACUUGCCAUUCGUGGAGAUAAAGAAUUGGGCUCUCUCUUCAAGUCUACAAUUGCUGGUAAAGGUGUCAUUCCACACAUCCACAAAUCUCUAAUUGGGAAGAAAGGACAACAGCAG
rnacentral:lncRNA from 1 species